rnacentral:rRNA from 1 species
UACGUAGGGUGCGAGCGUUGUCCGGAAUUAUUGGGCGUAAAGGGUGCGUAGGCGGUUUGAUAAGUCUGAUGUGAAAUCUAUGGGCUCAACCCAUAGCCUGCAUUAGAAACUGUCGGGCUUGAGUAUGGGAGAGGUGAGUGGAAUUUCCGGUGUAGCGGUGAAAUGCGUAGAUAUCGGAAGGAACACCUGUGGCGAAAAGCGGCUCACUGGACCAUUACUGACGCUGAUGCACGAAAAGCUAGGGGGAGCAAAACAGG